AAUUUCUUUUUUCAAAUAUGAAAUUUAAUCGUAAGCUUAGUGAACAGUUUUGGAGAAUUUGAUGUUUCCCCAUUCAAAGAGAUAGGAGCUGCACUUGCGUGCCCGAGAGGCGUUUCAAAGAUGGCCGCCGAGUGACAUGACUUGUCUUUAAGAGACUUUGGUACUAGUGAGUCUUUGAAGGCUUGAAUGAACAAUCGAGAUUCUUUUACUUAAAGGAUUCAUUUAAAAAAAAGUUUACGAACGAAACACCGCUGAUACUUUGAAUGCACUUACACGGCCAUUCAGACGGAGCGCUGCAUCCUAAUUACCAGAGCUGAAGGACAGAGGACAUCUCCUCGCCUCCUUAGUUGGAAUAACUGGCCUGACUAUCCAGAUGUAGAUGAAUUUGCUUCUUCAUCAGAAGAGAUUUGGAGAAAUGUAGCAUUACAUCACUUGCUCACCAAUGGAUCCUCUGCAGUGAAUGGGUGCCGUCAGAAUGAG